CAGUCGCCGCGGUAAUACAGAGGGUGCAAGCGUUAAUCGGAUUUACUGGGCGUAAAGGGCGCGUAGGUGGUGGUUUAAGUCCGUUGUGAAAGCCCUGGGCUCAACCUGGGAAUUGCAGUGGAUACUGGGUCACUAGAGUGUGGUAGAGGAUAGUGGAAUUUCCGGUGUAGCAGUGAAAUGCGUAGAGAUCGGGAGGAACAUCUGUUGCGAAGGCGACUAUCUGGGCCAACACUGACACUGAGGCACGAAAGCGUGGGGAGCAAACAGGAUUAGAUACCCCUGUAGUCCCUGUCUCUUAUAC
rnacentral:rRNA from 1 species